UGCACCUCCAACCGUCAGCUGAGCUGAGCACUCACUGGGGAACUACAGACCUCCACGCAGCUGCACUGAAUUCCUGCUUUGAAGGAUAUCCAGACGGAUGUGAUGAUUGUGUCUCCAUUCACUCAGAGAAACAGUUUCCUUCCUACACCACAACUGAGGAAGAAACGGCCUCGAUUUGAAAAACUUCCCCUUACUGAGGAAUAAAUCAGCCAAAAUGGGGAACGCACCAUCAGAAAGCAACAUGGGUGACAGCCUGAGAUGUUGCAUUUGUUCUAGAGUUCUAGC